ACUGCUCCAACCACACCUUAGAAAUUACGACAGGAUGGGCAGAGGCAGAAAAUGGACAAGGAUACCUGAAAGCACCCGAGGGACAGGAUGGAGAAAACCCAAGACUAUCAAUAGCAUUACCCCUUCGACAAGAUCGCAGAAGUGUGCAGAUUACAUUUUGGUGGGCAUACCAAGACUUUAAUCGCAGUUCUUCAAAUGCUGAUUUAAAUCAUGCUCCAUCUCCCCUGGAUGCAUCCGUAUGUGGAACAGAGAAAACCUACAAACAGAGUCAAAAGCCAACACAAAAUGUACUCUACCAAGAAUCAAUUCAUGGAACAUGUAAUUCAACCCAAUCAAAUGUCAUAUUUGUUGCCAAUUUGGUUUCAAACGGUAGCUUUGUUUUGCUGCAUAAGAACGUGAUGAUCUGUGAAUUACACUCUGAUUUCCCAUCCAGUUCGCCAACCACGACACUUACAACCAGUUCACCAACCACGACACUUACAACACUUUCGCCAACCACGACACUAAUAAAAAGUUCGCCAACAACGCCACUUACACCAAGUCCUACAAGUUAUUCAACUACCUCCGCUCCAACUCAUUCUUCAAAUAGUCCCAUAUAUAAUGGUAUUUCAACUAGACAUACUCCUAAAACUAGCUCUAAGACCUCUCCUACAAGCUAUCAUACUACUACGUCUGCGACAGAAGUGUUGACAACAGCUGGAGAAGAUAACUUUUUGG